AAUCAAGCGCGAGAAGGGCGUUUGGUGAAUGCCUUGGCAGUAAGAGGCGAUGAAGGACGUGAUACUCUGCGAUAAGUCAUGGGGAGCUGAGAAUAAGCUUUGAUCCAUGAAUUUCCGAAUGGGGCAACCCACCUGACAGUUCGAUAUAAUAGCCUUUUGGCUGCUUAUAUCUUGCUGAAACAGGUACUUAUAGACUGAAUACAUAGGUUUAUAAGAGCGAACCCGGGGAACUGAAACAUCUAAGUACCCGGAGGAAAGGACAUCAAUUGAGACUCCCCUAGUAGCGGCGAGCGAACGGGGACCAGCCGAGCCUUGAAUGUGAAUAGAAUGGUCUGGAAUGGCCAACCACAGUGGGUGACAGUCCCGUAUAUGAAGCACGAUAGGACGUAUUAAGUAGGGCGGGACACGUGAAAUCCUGUCUGAAGAUCGGGGGACCACCCUCGAAGGCUAAGUACUCCUUACUGACCGAUAGUGAACCAGUACCGUGAGGGAAAGGUGAAAAGCACCCCGACGAGGGGAGUGAAACAGUACCUGAAACCGAACGCCUACAAUCAGUCGGAGGCUCCUUGCGAGCUGACGGCGUACCUU
rfam:Thalassobius gelatinovorus strain CECT 4357 genome assembly, contig: 0007